CGCGAUACAGGGUGACAGCCCCGUACACAAAAGCGCAUGUGCUGUGAGCUCGAUGAGUAGGGCGGGACACGUGGUAUCCUGUCUGAAUAUGGGGGGACCAUCCUCCAAGGCUAAAUACUCCUGACUGACCGAUAGUGAACCAGUACCGUGAGGGAAAGGCGAAAAGAACCCCGGCGAGGGGAGUGAAAAAGAACCUGAAACCGUGUACGUACAAGCAGUGGGAGCACCCUUUGGGGUGUGACUGCGUACCUUUUGUAUAAUGGGUCAGCGACUUAUAUUCUGUAGCAAGGUUAACCGAAUAGGGGAGCCGGAGGGAAACCGAGUCUUAAUUGGGCGUUAAGUUGCAGGGUAUAGACCCGAAACCCGGUGAUCUAGCCAUGGGCAGGUUGAAGGUUGGGUAACACUAACUGGAGGACCGAACCGACUAAUGUUGAAAAAUUAGCGGAUGACCUGUGGCUGGGGGUGAAAGGCCAAUCAAACCGGGAGAUAGCUGGUUCUCCCCGAAAGCUAUUUAGGUAGCGCCUCGUGAAUUCAUCUCCGGGGGUAGAGCACUGUUUCGGCUAGGGGGCCAUCCCGGCUUACCAACCCGAUGCAAACUGCGAAUACCGGAGAAUGUUAUCACGGGAGACACACGGCGGGUGCUAACGUCCGUCGUGAAGAGGGAAACAACCCAGACCGCCAGCUAAGGUCCCAAAGUCAUGGUUAAGUGGGAAACGAUGUGGGAAGGCCCAGACAGCCAGGAUGUUGGCUUAGAAGCAGCCAUCAUUUAAAGAAAGCGUAAUAGCUCACUGGUCGAGUCGGCCUGCGCGGAAGAUGUAACGGGGCUAAACCAUG
rnacentral:rRNA from 1 species